rnacentral:rRNA from 1 species
GGCCGGUUUCUUCGAUUUUAUAACAGAAGUGGUUACAACGUACCAAGAUAUAAAGUGGUAGGAAAGUCUGGUGCCAGCAGCCGCGGUAAUUCCAGCUCCAAUAGCGUAUAUUAAAGUUGUUGCGAUUAAAAAGCUCGUAGUUGGAUCUCAGGCACGGGCGUGCGGUCCGUCUCGCGACGGUUUUACUGUGCGAAGCUUUCGCCGGGGCUCGGGGCUCGAGUUGGCGGGUGCGUGGCGGCGGCGUUAUGGGGGAGAUGGCGCGUGCUCGGGUCUCGUCCCGUCGCGCGUCUCUUCUCUCGUGCGUCGUUCGUCCGCGGUCGUGGCUCGCGGUCCUCCUCGGUGGGGGGCGUCCCGUCCUAUGGCAUUUGUCCGGUCUCUCCGUCCAUGGUGCUCUUGGCUGAGCGUUAUGGGCGGCCGGAACGUUUACUUUGAAGAAAUUAGAGUGUUCAAAGCAGGCAGGCAGGCCUGAAUAAUGGUGCAUGGAAUAAUGGAAUAGGACCUCCGGUUCUAUUUUGCUGGUUUUCGGAACGAAGAGGUAAUGAUUAAGAGGGGACAGACGGGGGCAUCCGUAUUGCGGUGUUAGAGGUGAAAUUCUUGGAUCAUCGCAAGACGAACAACUGCGAAAGCAUUUGCCAAGCAUGUUUUCAUUAGUCAAGAACGAAAGUCAGAGGUUCGAAGACGAUCAAGAUACCGUCGUAGUUCUGACCAUUAAACGAUGCCCACUAGCGAUCCGCAGGGUGUUGCUUUCAUCGACUCUGCGGGCAGCUUUCGGGGAAAACCAAAGUGUUUUGGGUUCCGGGGAAGUAUGUUGCAAGCUGAAACUUAAAGGAAAUGGACGGAGGGCACACCCUGGAGUGAGAGAGCUCUGCGCGAGAGG